rnacentral:rRNA from 1 species
CUAAACCGUACUGAAAACCGACACAGGUGGUCAGGUAGAGAAUACUCAGGCGCUUGAGAGAACUCGGGUGAAGGAACUAGGCAAAAUAGCACCGUAACUUCGGGAGAAGGUGCGCCGGCGUAGAUUGUAAGGGCUAGCCCCUGAAGGUUGAACCGGUCGAAGAUACCAGCUGGCUGCAACUGUUUAUUAAAAACACAGCACUCUGCAAACACGAAAGUGGACGUAUAGGGUGUGAUGCCUGCCCGGUGCUGGAAGGUUAAUUGAUGGUGUAAUCGAAAGAGAAGCUCCUGAUCGAAGCCCCAGUAAACGGCGGCCGUAACUAUAACGGUCCUAAGGUAGCGAAAUUCCUUGUCGGGUAAGUUCCGACCUGCACGAAUGGCAUAAUGAUGGCCAGGCUGUCUCCACCCGAGACUCAGUGAAAUUGAAAUCGCCGUGAAGAUGCGGUGUACCCGCGGCUAGACGGAAAGACCCCGUGAACCUUUACUAUAGCUUGACACUGAACAUUGAAUUUUGAUGUGUAGGAUAGGUGGGAGACUUAGAAGUAGUCACGCCAGUGAUUAUGGAGUCGUCCUUGAAAUACCACCCUUUAACGUUUGAUGUUCUAACGAAGAUUACGAAACGUGGUCUCGGACAGUGUCUGGUGGGUAGUUUGACUGGGGCGGUCUCCUCCCAAAGAGUAACGGAGGAGCACGAAGGUUUGCUAAUGACGGUCGGACAUCGUCAGGUUAGUGCAAUGGUAUAAGCAAGCUUAACUGCGAGACAGACAAGUCGAGCAGGUACGAAAGUAGGUCAUAGUGAUCCGGUGGUUCUGAAUGGAAGGGCCAUCGCUCAACGGAUAAAAGGUACUCCGGGGAUAACAGGCUGAUACCGCCCAAGAGUUCAUAUCGACGGCGGUGUUUGGCACCUCGAUGUCGGCUCAUCACAUCCUGGGGCUGAAGUAGGUCCCAAGGGUAUGGCUGUUCGCCAUUUAAAGUGGUACGCGAGCUGGGUUUAGAACGUCGUGAGACAGUUCGGUCCCUAUCUGCCGUGGGCGUUGGAGAAUUG